rnacentral:lncRNA from 1 species
AUUUUCUAUUAUUUUUCUACGGAAUUACAAGAAAAUUCUUUGGGAUCUAAUAAAUAAAAUAAUAAUGCACACAACACAACCAAAUAAUUGAAUGGCAUCGAAUAUAAAAAUUAAAGAGUUUACAUAAAUUAAAGAUUUUCUUUGAUCGUAUUACUGCGUACGUGAUGGAAUAGGCUUUUGUAACAAAAUCACAUUUCAAUAACGAAAUUUAUCUAAGUUGUGUGUGAUGUACUUUGCAUAAAAUCAAAAUUCGCGAAGUUGUCAUGUGGUUGUUGUUUUUUAUAAUAACAAUAACUUCACACCUUAAAUAUACCAGUUUUCUUUUAACGAUUUGAUUUGAUUGAGGAAUACAAAUAAGCGGUAAAAUUAACAUUUCGUCAUCAGUUUUACUCCAUCACGAUUGUGGUAAUUCGCUAAAUGAUUUGUAAUGCGAAAGAAAUUAGAUUGUUUAAAAUUGUAAUUGUGUUAUUGUUUAAAAUAAUAAUUUUUAAGAGAGAGAGAUAAUUUUAACUUCAUUUUGCAAAAGAAAAAGUUCUAUUUAAAAGUAUAAAAAAUAGUGAAAGAAGAAUUUUAUCAGUGAGACAAAAAUCUUUGAUUUAUGUAAACUCCUUUGUUUUUAUAAACAUACUAUUUUGGAGAAUGGAAUUAUAGCUAAAAACUUAAACCUCAAAUUAGACCUUCAAGGAUUUAGCAUCCAUAAUUAUGUAAAUUACAAAGCUAUUAACUCAAAACCUGUAAGGAUUUGUCUUUAGAAGUAUGGAGUUCAUAAAGGUAUGUACUUAUCGAUUUCAGGAAAUUGGAUGGAUGACAUUCAGAUUUUUUUGAAGCUGAACUGUUAUUUUUCAUUAUUUUCCAUUUUAUUUAUAGUUUAAUAUUAUUUUAGAAAAAUAAAAUAAAAAAUUAAAAACAAAUUA